rnacentral:rRNA from 1 species
GGAUCUGAACUUAGAUGGGAUUACCCGCUGAACUUAA